CUAAGAUAAAGAGGUACAAGUGGGAGAGAGAGAUGUGAGUACCUCUUUAUCUCAGUGUCACAUCUCUCUCUCCCACUUGUACCUCUUUAUCUCAGUG
rnacentral:pre_miRNA from 1 species